GACGAACGCUGGCGGCGUGCUUAACACAUGCAAGUCGAACGGAAAGGCCCUGCUUUUGUGGGGUGCUCGAGUGGCGAACGGGUGAGUAACACGUGAGUAACCUGCCCUUGACUUUGGGAUAACUUCAGGAAACUGGGGCUAAUACCGGAUAGGAGCUCCUGCUGCAUGGUGGGGGUUGGAAAGUCUCGGCGGUUGGGGAUGGACUCGCGGCUUAUCAGCUUGUUGGUGGGGUAGUGGCUUACCAAGGCUUUGACGGGUAGCCGGCCUGAGAGGGUGACCGGCCACAUUGGGACUGAGAUACGGCCCAGACUCCUACGGGAGGCAGCAGUGAGGAAUAUUGCACAAUGGGCGGAAGCCUGAUGCAGCAACGCCGCGUGCGGGAUGACGGCCUUCGGGUUGUAAACCGCUUUCGCCUGUGACGAAGCGUGAGUGACGGUAAUGGGUAAAGAAGCACCGGCUAACUACGUG
rnacentral:rRNA from 1 species